GAGAACUUCUGACUUGGGGUCAGCAAGCUUUUCUGGAAGUUUACCGAAAACCCCAGAACCUGAAUGUGUGACAGAAGCUGAGAAAACGGCACUCUCGCCUGCUCACGGGAGCUGGCUAUUAAAGCCUCGUCGUCCAGACAAGUUAAAGUGCGGGUGCCUGUUUUCCUGAGAGAUGUAGCACUUCCUCCACACAUUUUUUAAAAGGUGCAAAGUGCUAGAGACAGACUGAAGGCAAUACCAGAUACCCGUAGGCUAUGCCCUCGAAAGCGAAUCUCAGAAACUGUCUUUGGUCCAGGUGUAUCGCUACGUGAAAGUAAGCACCUGUCAGGUUGAUCGUGGCAAACCCAACGCCCGGGGUGAUAGCACUGAGAAGCUGCUUGAGUGUUAGCAUUUUGAACUUGUAUGUUCAGCCCAUAUUUACACUGAAGGAGCUUAAGGCAGUUGGGACCACUGUCGCAAAAAACUCAACUUGUACAGGAAUGUCUAAAGUUUGCAAGUAAAUGACUGACAUUGAUAAGAAGCUGUAGAAAAAGGAUGUGGUCAAAUGAGACCAAAAUCAGGUUCUUUGAAAUCAACUCGACCCCUCAUGUUUAAAAAAGGAGCUUGCUGGCAGCCAAUUACCUGAACACCACCUCCACAGCCAACCACAGAGCUGGAAACAUUAUGCUGUCGAGCUGUUUUUCUUCUAAAGCUACAGAACAACUUCAUUGCAUAGAGGGGUCAGUGCACAAGGCCAUGCACCAUUAUAAUCUUAAAUAAUAUUCUUCUUCCCUCAGCCACAAAAAUGACAAUGGCUUAAAACAUACCAUGAACAGCAGCCCUGAAACCUCCUGAGAUGUGUGCAAACCUGGUGACAAGCUACAACAUCCUACCGCUGUCUUUACCAAUCAGGUUUCUCCUCCACUUGUAACUUUUAUGUAAUGUUUGUUUUUCUGCAUUUUUGGUCAGCAUUCAAUCUCUAUGCAUUAAAAUAAAACCACUAUAAAAUUAGAGACUCUUCCUUUCUUUGCAAACAAACUCACAAAAUCAGCAGAUGAUCAAAUAUUACUUCCCUCGUAUAUAAGCAUUUUACAAGCGACACUGCUAUAGUAUUAUCAUGGUACAGUAAUAUUUGACAAUGUUGCAUUUUUGUUACAGUCAAAGGGAAUCUCAUUCAUGCAAAGUACCAAAUGUGCUGCAGCAAUCUUCAAAAAUUCUGGAUCACGCAAGAAAGGCUUCCUUUGAACAUUACCAUUGUUUCCCAUUAUGAAAAUUCCUCAGAUUUAUUGGAUAGGAGUUUCGGUGGUAACAGCUGUUUCCUGUUAGCUUAAAAAGUAUUUACCCACUUUGAGUUACUUAAUAUUUAUAGUAAUAGUCAAUAAAUUAGAAUAUGUGUUAUGAUGAGGCUUGUUUGUCUCUCUUUUUUUUUUUUUUAUAACCUUUAAGCAGGUAUACAACAUACCUUUCAAAAAGCCCACAUUCCUGUAAUAUAUUUUGUAUCGGUCUGAUGUAGUAUAUGUAUCUUAAAUGUCAUAUUUUCAAUAGCUGUAAAAGGAAAUCCUCAUAAUUAACAGAAAUAAAGACUUGAAAACAUCAGUUUGCAUGCAGUGUAAUGUAAAAAUUUAAAUUGCUUUUGUGCUUCUGAGGUGAUGACCAAGUUUGAAAUGACAAUAGCUUUCACCUUCCUUUCUGCCCCCUCUGGGUGGUCUUCCCAAGGCAUUUAGUACCUGAAGUGGAAAUGUGUCUGAACACAAAAGGUGUUUUGUGUCCGGAUCUGGAUUUUUGUCUGUUUUGGUGCUGUUACUUUGCUGAGCCCCUAGAUGGCGCGGAACCUGGAGGAGAGGCGACAGGUGUUCACCAUUUCCUUGAUCACCUGCUGAGGAGUAUUUAAGGAGGAGGCUGUCAACAACUUGUUGCCAGAGUGUUGCCUUUAGUGGUACAGCUCAAGCCACAUUACCUUGUCUUGUCCUUGCCUGGAACUUUUAGUAACUUGAUCUUUUUACUUUGCAGGAAUACCUGAACCUGACCUUGCCUUGUGGUGAAUACAGCUUGGAUUGACCUUUUCCUGUGGAAGAGCCAUUCUACUUUAUGAACCAAGAACCACACCUCUCGGACCUCGCUGGUUGGCAGCCACCGCGCCAACUUCUGUAUUCCUGGACUCAAUCAUUCUGGCACACAUUACCUUCAUCCUAAUCAGUCUCACGGGUAAACAACAUCUUGGUCUCUCUGCUUUCCUCCCUCUGGCGGAUCACUCCAUUAACCAAUUGGUUUCCCGGUUCCAGUUUCCCUGCCCAAGUCACUUCACUAACCCCUGCUGGUCCAACAAACAAUCAGUCGCAGAGGAGCCGAGAUGUCUGCGAGAAAGUUAGGUUGAUUUCUCACCUCUGUUUCUCUUAGAGGGAGGGUGUCAGGACCAGACUGAUAUAAGGAGGGGUCAGCACUUGUCUCAUCAGAUUUGAUCUCGGCUCUGUUCAGUAACACGUGUGAUGCGGAAAGAUCUGUCUCCCUUAUAAGGCUAAAUUAAUAAAGCUGGUUGAAUGGUU